CAGUAGCAUAUAUUAAAGUUGUUGCAGUUAAAAAGCUCGUAGUUGGAUUUCUGGUACGAUGCGCCUAGUCCGCGACGUUUAACGUCUGUGAGUACUGGAGCGCGUCUGCCAUCCUUCUGGGGAACGGGUCUACCCUUUACUGGGCCGGGCUCGUGAUCCAGAUCGUUUACUUUGAAAAAUUAGAGUGUUCAAAGCAGGCCUUUGCUGUGAAUACAUUAGCAUGGAAUAAUGAUCUAGGACUUCGGUUCUAUUUUGUUGGUUUCUAGCACUGAAGUAAUGAUUGAUAGGGAUAGUUGGGGGUGCUAGUAUUGGGCGGCCAGAGGUGAAAUUCUUGGAUUCGCUCAAGACUAACUUAUGCGAAAGCAUUCACCAAGGAUGUCUUCUUUAAUCAAGAACGAAAGUUGGGGGAUCGAAGACGAUCAGAUACCAU
rnacentral:rRNA from 1 species